GACUAAAAUUCUUGGAUUUAUUGAUGCUGAAGAUUUUUACAAGAAUACAUAUGUGUGUGAGGAUUACUAUUGCUGGAUUUUGACUAAAAAUUACUUCCCAGUAUCUAUACCUGUGCGUGUAUUUGUAUAGUGAUACAAUAUAUUGAAGCCAAAAGUUAUUUAAAACGAUUUUACAUGUACAGUGUAGUUUUUUCCAGGUGUAAUUAUGAACUGUAGUUAAAUGUUGCUGGGUUACUGUUUGAUUCAUGGAUUUUUUUUCCCAGCUGCAUAAGAUUUGAAUUUUGAGAUUCUUACUCCAGUAAAACUGUAGGAAGUUAUAAUUUGUUUGCAGACAGUUCUUUCUACUAUGAUAAUACACAUAUAAAGGAAUUGAUAUUGCAAAUUUAUAGAAUAUUAUUAGAUAUUUAUUGUUUAUAGGUAUAUACCUA
rnacentral:lncRNA from 1 species